GACGAACGCUGGCGGCGUGCUUAACACAUGCAAGUCGAACGGAAAGGCCCUGCUUUUGUGGGGUGCUCGAGUGGCGAACGGGUGAGUAACACGUGAGUAACCUGCCCUGGACUUUGGGAUAACUUCGGGAAACUGGGGCAAAUACCGGAUAGGAGCUCCUGCUGAAUGGUGGGGGUGGGAAAGUUUCGGCGGUUGGGGAUGGACUCGCGGCUUAUCAGCUUGUUGGUGGGGUAGUGGCUUACCAAGGCUUUGACGGGUAGCCGGCCUGAGAGGGUGACCGGCCACAUUGGGACUGAGAUACGGCCCAGACUCCUACGGGAGGCAGCAGUGGGGAAUAUUGCACAAUGGGCGGAAGCCUGAUGCAGCAACGCCGCGUGCGGGAUGACGGCCUUCGGGUUGUAAACCGCUUUCGCCUGUGACGAAGCGUGAGUGACGGUAAUGGGUAAAGAAGCACCGGCUAACUACGUG
rnacentral:rRNA from 1 species